GACGAACGCUGGCGGCGUGCUUAACACAUGCAAGUCGAGCGGUAAGGCCCUUUCGGGGGUACACGAGCGGCGAACGGGUGAGUAACACGUGGGUGACCUGCCCUCAGCUCUGGGAUAAGCCUGGGAAACCGGGUCUAAUACUGGAUAUGACUCCAUGACGCAUGUUGUGGGGUGGAAAGCCUUGUGCGGCUGAGGAUGGGCCCGCGGCCUAUCAGCUUGUUGGUGGGGGAUGGCCUACCAAGGCGACGACGGGUAGCCGGCCUGAGAGGGCGACCGGCCACACUGGGACUGAGACACGGCCCAGACUCCUACGGGAGGCAGCAGUGGGGAAUCUUGCGCAAUGGGCGAAAGCCUGACGCAGCGACGCCGCGUGAGGGAUG
rnacentral:rRNA from 1 species